rnacentral:rRNA from 1 species
UACAGAGGGGGCAAGCGUUGUUCGGAAUUACUGGGCGUAAAGGGCGCGUAGGCGGCCUGUUAAGUCGAACGUGAAAUCCCCGGGCUCAACCCGGGAACUGCGUCCGAUACUGGCAGGCUUGAAUUCGGGAGAGGGAUGUGGAAUUCCAGGUGUAGCGGUGAAAUGCGUAGAUAUCUGGAGGAACACCGGUGGCGAAGGCGGGUUGCUGGGCUGACACUGAC